UCUUUGCAGCUUUUAUUUUUCUUUAAAUGGUUUCAAAUUCAUCACCUGGAGGACCAGUUUAGGAUGAACAAAGUCCCCAAGAAGCUUUUGAAGCUUAAGCCUUACAAAAGGUAACCUGAAAAAAUCAUGCAUACAUAUAAAGUGUCAUUGUUGUUCUUAUUUGAAAUCAAGAGGGUGUUUUCGGAACAGAAAAGAUAAAAGAACUUGCCUUUUAUGCGAUGGAUCGGCCAGGAUUUCAGUUGCAAGUUCUGUCAAGACCUCUUCCCAUCCGAGUGGAAUAGGUUGGUCAUCAGCAAAAGGAUAGCUGCAAUUGCAGGGUAUAUCACAUUCACAUCUAAGAACAAAUAUGGAGCCUUUAUAUCUUAAAUCAAUUUAUUGGAGAUUUGCUUUAAGUUCUUACUUGUGUGCUUUGCAGGCUUCAAGUGCCAUGAUUGCUUUCCUCAGGUUUUGCUUUGAUUUGGCAGCAAUCUUUGCAGCAAAGUUCAUAUGUAGUUCAAAGUCUUCUUUCCUUGCAAUUUGGAUAAGUAUCUCCAUGACCUGCAGAAUCGACAGUCGUAGCAGUGACACGAUUAGAUCUUAAAGCAUUUUGUAAGGAAUGUUAUGAUCUGAUCAACCCUAUACACCAACAUUUCACAUGCCUGAACUUAGCCAAAAGAUUCAUCAUUAUGAUACCAUUGCAAUACAAGCAUAUUCAGUCUUCAUAUCGAGGAGCUCGGAAAGGCCGAGGCGGGUCCAUCCCGUAAUACAAAUUGGAAGCAAACCGAGGUAUGUUGAUAUAAUAUGAAUUAUACUGCAAAACUUGUAGGAAUACUUACUUCAUGUGUUGCCGGGGCAUCUACUUUUAUAACUUUGCAGCGACUCUUUACUGAUUCUAGGAUACUUAUGUCAUCUUCACAGCAGAUUAUGAAUUUACACGAAUCCGAAUGACAGUCCAUGAUCCAUUUGAUCAAGUGAUGAAUAUUCUCUGGUGCCUUGUCAACAUCAUAAAGAACUAAAACUGAAAAUAUACAUAGAAACCUCAUUAGCUACAAGUCGAUUGCUUUACAUACAAGAAACUAAAAAAGGAAAAAGAAAAAAAAGCUAAACCUUUGAAGUUUAUCUUGAAAUAAUCAUUGCUGACUUCUGGGAUAGUGGUAAAAUUGGUGCUUAUUUCCUUAACUAAUCCCAUUAAUGCAUAUUUCGCAUUUGUUUCCAAGUGUACAUUAAGCUGUACAUGAUGAGCACUUGAAGCAAUUGAAACAUGAACUUGCUUUGGCUUUUUUUCCUAUCCACAUAUUCAAAUCAUAAAGAUGUCAAACUCUAGAAUCAAUGGUGAUACUGUCAUCUUCAGGCUAUAUAUAUGUAUGUAUAUAUAUAUUAUAUUUUUACCUGAACCUGGAAUUGCCUUAAUUCAUGAGAUACAUUCCAGCUAGCGUCACCAUACAUUUCGCGCAGGGAAGCCAUUGUUAGUGCUUUUUUCCCUGAACCAGAUGGUCCUUUGAGCAAUAUAUGAGGACAAUUCUCAUGGGAUGCCUAAAAGUUUAGCGUAAAACAUUACGUUUUCGUAUAUCGAAUAACUUGCAUCAUAUGAAAGACUUUUAGGGGCAGGACUUACACUUACUAGUUGCUUCAGAAGCUGAGUUUCUUGUUUGUGACAGGUGAAUCCGUUCAAGGAAGCUGGUUGGUAUUUAUCGGCCCAAAACUGCCUCAGUUUUUCGACAACAAAUGCCUUCCCAAUGAACGAGGCCUCAUCGAAGGAUUGUGUUUCUCUUUUGGGUGAUUUUUUUGAGGUCCUGCAGGAUCCUCUC
rnacentral:lncRNA from 1 species